UCACUUUCUAUUUCUAUUAAAUAGUAUGGCCUUAGACUAUAGAAAAUUUGUCAUAGGAUUGUGAAUCUAGUGACAUAAUUUGCUUAGAUGUCAGUGGGUAUUUGAGCUUUAAUAAUUUUAUUAGCUUAAGACAUUCUGAUAAUAAGUGUCUCCAAAUAUGUACCCAUUAAAAUUCUUUUCUCAUGCAGCUAAGGUGUUGAUAAGAGAAUUUGCUCUUAAGUCUUUGGUGACUGAAUGACUUCUUGGUGAUGCAAGGACAAUUUUCGGUAAUCCAGCAGCCAAGGUGACAGUCCAGAUAAGGUGGGUAGGCUAGUUGAUCUUUCAAGUCUAAGGCAAGAAAAAAUUUCAGCUUCUCUGAUGGAAAUGGCUCUGGACCAGAAUUCAGAAGACCUCGGUGAAGCCAAAGCUUUCUUGGCCACUUACAAACUACUUGUAUGUUUUCCAGCAAUAAAUUAUCUUGCCUGGAGCCAACAAUGUGUUUCCAUACCUAUUAACUGGGGGAGUUAAUAACAGCAACACAAUCCAUCCACAGAGUUAUUUUGGAGAAAGUGAGCGCACAAUCUCCCACGACCACAAAUGAUACAGUUGCUUUUCCCACAUCUGGGGAAAUGAUAGGGGUCAGCACAUCUGGAGUUCAGUGGAUAAGCCUGGCCUUGGGAAACCACCUUCACGAUCAUGGGAUCUCCCCUCCCAGAAAUCAUCAGUAUGUGCACAAGAAAGGAAAAAAGAAGAGUCAGAGAGGAUGCCAUAUGUUCAAGCCAUUAGAAGAAAUAAGGAAUUCAGGAAGAGAAGAUUUGUAGUUUAAUGACAGAGUUUCACACGCAGGCCUUCCACAGUUUAGAUAUUGGAAGGUGGGGACUCCUAUGAUUGACAUUCCCAUUGAAUUACCCCUCAAUGCCCAGCAAAGUAGCCCUGUAUAUAGACAAUGACAAAUGUAUUGAAAUCUACGCGCAGUAAGGAUAAAUUCAGGAUCUGGUCUGGAGUGGGUUAAACAGUGACACCCCUUCCCUCCCUGGAAAGAUAUGUGCAUCUAAAACUUGUAAAUGUGACCUUAUUAGAAAAAAGAGUCUUUGCAGUAGUGAUCUUUCUAGAUUAGGUUGGGCCCUAAAUCCAAUGACACAUCCUAUAUAAUAAAAGCCUGAUAUACUAAGUGUCAGACCGUUUGUUCGACCGUUCAACCAGUCGCU